CCUGAAACUAUCACUUACAUUACUGCAAACCCAAGACACCGUUCAACUUUUCUCAAACGAGGCUGAUAGGAUUUAAAGGUGAUGACAAAAGAUGACAACUCCAAAAGAGAAAGCUUUUCUGGGUCCUCUAACACUAAGUCAAGUAGGCAAACGUCGCACUCUCUCACCUCCUCAGGUCUCUGCCUGCCUCCAUCUGAAUCUCAGUCCAGUAAAUUGCAUGUCUACCUGACUGCACCUAGCACAGUUCCCAGCACAUGGCGGGUGAUCGAUGAGUAUGAGCUGUGUAUGAAUGAGCCCCACAGCCGCCCUAGCACCAACCUGGAGGAGAGCGAGA